GACGAACGCUGGCGGCGUGCUUAACACAUGCAAGUCGAACGGAAAGGCCCUGCUUUUGUGGGGUGCUCGAGUGGCGAACGGGUGAGUAACACGUGAGUAACCUGCCCUUGACUUUGGGAUAACUUCAGGAAACUGGGGCUAAUACCGGAUAGGAGCUCCUGCUGCAUGGUGGGGGUUGGAAAGUUUCGGCGGUUGGGGAUGGACUCGCGGCUUAUCAGCUUGUUGGUGGGGUAGUGGCUUACCAAGGCUUUGACGGGUAGCCGGCAUGAGAGGGUGACCGGCCACAUUGGGACUGAGAUACGGACCAGACUCCUACGGGCGGCAGCAGUGGGGAAUAUUGCACAAUGGGCGGAAGCCUGAUGCAGCAACGCCGCGUGCGGGAUGCCGGCCUUCGGGUUGUAAACCGCUUUCGCCUGUGACGAAGCGUGAGUGACGGUAAUGGGUAAAGAAGCACCGGCUAACUACGUG
rnacentral:rRNA from 1 species